rnacentral:lncRNA from 1 species
CUUUUCUCUCAUUGCCUUGGGAAAAGGCAUUCACCUGGAAAAAAGAUGACUUGGUUUCAGGUCACAACCCUGCUACUUUCUAGUUCAUCAGCUUCUCUGAACUUCAUCUUUCUCAGUGUCAAAUGAAGCUCGUGAUUGCUGUCCUGUUUACCUCUCAGCUUGCUGUGAGUGCUACAGAGAUUACAAAUGUGAAAGCAUUUUGCUUAGCGUUAAUGCUUUUAAAAAAAUAAGGCGUAGAGCAACAUGGCAGAUUCAAUUCUGAUUCUGUUAUUUGCUUGAUCUGUAGCAAUGCCUCAGUAGCUUUGCAUAGCAUAGGGGCACAGAUGCUUUCUUCUUCUUAUGAUUUACAUGGAUUCAAAUUGUAGGCAACAGAACAAUGUUGGUAUUACAUGUCAAAGCACAAUAGGAGACAGAAUAAAAAGGUUAUAAUCAAGCUGCACAAUCUAUUCAGUCAACUUUUCUCUCUGAAAUAUGUCAGAUGCUAUUUCCUGGAAUUUGAGGCACUUAAUGAUUAGGAUCAUUAGAAAGUACAUCUUUGUCAUGUAGGCACUAUUUACAAAAUUUUAGGGAUAAAGCAAGCAAACACAGAUGUACGCACAGAAACAUAUAGAACACAUACAGUUUACUAUUCAUUAAUUCCAGAAUUCUGCUUGUCAUUAUUUUCUUAGACAUAUAUAUAUAUAUGUAUAUAUAAUAUAAUUAUAUAACAUAUAUAUAAUAUAAUUAUAUAAUAUUAUAUAAUAAUAUAUAAUAUAUAUAAUAUUUUAUUUAUGUCUUUUCCCUGGCACUGGGAAACUUUUUAUAUUGAGGUUUUAUAUUAUUUUCUAAUCAAAAAAACAAAGGGUUAGAUAAAUAGGGGCAAUGAACUAUUUUAGACCAAUAGUGUUUCUAUGGCUUUCCCCUAAUUUCAUCAAGGAAACAGAAAGAAAAAAGAGAUGUAGAAAUGGUACACAAAAUUUUCAGAAAGCAUUCUUACAGAAUUAACCGCUAAAAUUUUUAAAGUUCUUAAAAUCAACAAUGAGAGGGAUAUAUUCUCUACACUCUUUUGUUGAUAUAAUGAUUUUAUAUCCACUUAAUAGCCACAUGUGUUAAAUAAACAAAAUACCAUACAUGUUUUUGCUACUGAGAGAAAAGAGUGGGAGAGAAAGUAUGUUCCAUUCUCUAGCUCAUUAUUUUAAUUUUUAAUAAUCCUAGAACAAUGCAGAUUAGAAGUUAAGUGGCUGGCCCAAAGUCAAGCUUACCAAAAAAUCUUCUAUUCCUGGGGUGCCUGGGUGGCUGUCAGUUAAUUGAGUGACUCUUGAUUUCAGCUCAGGUCAUGAUCUCAGGGUCAUGGGAUGGAGCCCAGGUGUGACUCUGCACUCAGUGCAGAGCCUGCUAGUCCCUCUCCUUCUGUUACCCCUGCCUCUCCCACCCCUAACCCCAUUCAUACUCUGUCUCUGUCUAAAAUAAGUAAGUAAAAUAUUUUUUUUAAAGUCUUCUCUUCCAGAUUCGCAACUCUUUCAUCCAAAGAACUCUUUACCUCUAAAGCAUUUUAAUGAACAUACUAUAGGGCUUAAUAAAAAAAAAUAAACUAUUCCAAAAAGUAGAGAAAAAGUCUUCAAAGCUAUUCUCAUUAACAUGAAGAAUGAAACUUAUCUUGUUUUGAGACAGUCUUAUAAAAUGGCAUUUGAUUUUACUUAACAUUUUAGCUAUCUUUUCCUAAAUUUGUUCAGAUAAAGCUAUAGUUAUACUUAAACUCUCAGUAUAAAUUACUCAUUUCUUCUCUACCAUAGGCUUGCUAAAUUUUUAAACUAAUUUUCAUAUUAAUAUUUGUUAUUUUAAAAAAUAUUUUAUUUAUUUUUUCAUGAGAGAUGCAGAGAGGGAGUCAAAGACACAGGUAGAGGGAGAAGCAGGUUGCCUGCAGGGAGCCUGAUGUGGGACUUGGUCCCAGGACCCCAGGAUCACACCCUGGGCUGAAGGCAGACGCUCAACUGCUAAACCAGCCUGGCAUUCCUAAUAUUUGUUAUUUCUGAUUAUAAAAUUAAUGCAAACAAUAUUCCAGACAUCUAAAGUAUUUGUUUCUUACUGAUCAGGAAAAGGAAUAAUGUUUUUUAUAAUGCUAUUGUUUAACAUUGUACAAAGAGUCCUGACUGGUGCAACCAGACAAGAAAAAGGUAAUAUAGAUUCAAAAGGAAGAAAAAAAAAAAAAAACAGUAAGUAUCUAAAGAUACAUUAUAAUCUAUGAUAGAACAAUUGUUACAAUAAAAAAAUCCCAGAAAGGUGAGAUAUAAGGCUAAUGGUCAAUAAUCACUUGUUCCUUUUUACCAAUAAAUUCAAGUUGAAAGUGAAGGAGAAAAUAUGAUCAUUGGCUUUAGCAACAAAACUUUAACAUAUUUAGAAAUCACUCUAACGAUUUCUUCUGAAGAAAUAUAUGAAGCAUUAUAAUAAAUACAAAUAUACUGAGAAUAACACUGUAACAAAUAGUGACUUAUUACUAUAAAGAUUUCAAUACUCCCCAAAUUGAUAAUUUCAAAAUAAUUUUAACAAAUAUACAAGAUUUUUUGGAAAAUUAAGUUAAUUGUAAAAUUUGUAUGGACAAAUAAUAGUGUUCCAAUAGUAAAACAACUUGAAAAAGAAUGGUGACAAGUCUCAUUUACUACCUAUUAAGACAUUUAAAGCCACAGUAAAUAAAACAAUUUCAUGCAAUUAAAGCAAAAGAGAAAUAAAACAGUGUGUUAGGAUAGAGGCCGAGCAAGUAACUUAUACUAUUUUUUGGAAUUUAGUUCCUAAUGGAGGUGGCAUAAAAAAUCAGUGUAUCCGUAUAGAAUGAAUUAUUUUAUAAAAGAAUAUUCAAAAAGUCAGUCCAUUUUUAAAUAAUAAUUAUGAUAAUAGUAAUAUAAUCUAAUAAUAUAAUCAAUAACAGUACUUAACAACCAAUAACAGUAUCCAAAAUGUGUCAGGCAAUGAUCUCAACGCUGCAAAUUUACUAACACUUUUAAUAUGACAGUCUUAUAAGAUAGGCAUUACCUUUGUGUUUUACAGAUCAGGACACUGAGGCAUAGCCUAGACGUAAGUAAAUUGCACAAAGUGACAUACUAGUAGCAGAGUCAUGAUACAAAUUCAAUGGAUUUAUUAUAAAAUUUUUUCUUGUAUCCAUUAUAUUGUGCUGCCUUUACAGGGGAAAAAUUAUAUACUUAUACUUAUCUCUUGUGAUAUAUAUAUAAUAUACAUAUUAUAUAUACAUAUAUAUACUAUACAUAUUAUAUAUACAUAUAUAUACAUAAACUCCAAGUGAUUUAAAGAUACAAAUGAAAUUUAAAUCUAAAGGUAUUAAAUGCAGUGGAAUAUACAAAGUAAACAGGUGUAUUACCUACUGGGAAUUGAUAUUCUGCAUAUAUCUAGAAUACAUAAGGAGCAUCUGAAAAUUAGUGAGGAAAAGCUAAUAAAAACAAUGUG